rnacentral:rRNA from 1 species
UACAGAGGUCCCAAGCGUUGUUCGGAUUCAUUGGGCGUAAAGGGUGCGUAGGUGGCGCGCUAAGUCAGGUGUGAAAUUUCGGAGCUUAACUCCGAAACUGCAUUCGAUACUGGCGUGCUUGAGGACUGGAGAGGAGACUGGAAUUUACGGUGUAGCAGUGAAAUGCGUAGAGAUCGUAAGGAAGACCAGUGGCGAAGGCGGGUCUCUGGACAGUUCCUGACACUGAGGCACGAAGGCCAGGGGAGCAAACGGG